UUUCCGUAGGUGAACCUGCGGAAGGAUCAUUAUCAUACAAUCGAGGUGCAAAGGCUGUCGCUGACCUUCAGAGGUCGUGCACGCCCAAGUGCCUCUCACAUCCAUCUUACCCCCUUUGUGCACUGCCGCGUGGGUCUCUCAAUUUUUGGGGGGCUUGCGUUUUAACAUAAAACUCGAUUAUGGUGUAGAAUGUCUUUUUUCUUUUGCGGUCACACGCAAUCAAUACAACUUUCAACAACGGAUCUCUUGGCUCUC
rnacentral:misc_RNA from 1 species